rnacentral:rRNA from 1 species
AGGGGUUUGAUCACUGGCUCAGAUUGAACGCUGGCGGCAUGCUUUACACAUGCAAGUCGAACGGUAACGGGAGUUAGCUUGCUAACUUGCCGACGAGUGGCGGACGGGUGAGUAACGCGUAGGUAUCUACCUUAAGGUGGGGGACAACCCGAGGAAACUCGGGCUAAUACCGCAUAUCUUCUACGGAAGAAAGUCAGGGAUCUUCGGACCUGAUGCCUUGAGAUGAGCCUGCGUCGGAUUAGCUUGUUGGUAGGGUAAAGGCCUACCAAGGCGACGAUCCGUAGCUGGUCUGAGAGGAUGAUCAGCCACACUGGGACUGAGACACGGCCCAGACUCCUACGGGAGGCAGCAGUGGGGAAUAUUGGACAAUGGGGGCAACCCUGAUCCAGCAAUGCCGCGUGUGUGAAGAAGGCCUGCGGGUUGUAAAGCACUUUCAGUUGGGAGGAAGUUUGUGGUGUUAAUAGCGCCAUGAAUUGACGUUACCAACAGAAGAAGCACCGGCUAACUCUGUGCCAGCAGCCGCGGUAAUACAGAGGGUGCAAGCGUUAAUCGGAAUUACUGGGCGUAAAGGGCGCGUAGGUGGAAGUUUAAGUCAGAGGUGAAAUCCCUGGGGCUUAACCUAGGAAUUGCCUCUGAUACUGGGCUUUCUAGAGUACAGUAGAGGAAAGUGGAAUUUCCGGUGUAGCGGGUGGAAAUGCGUAGAUAUCGGAAGGAACAUCAGUGGCGGAAGGC